AGGUUAAUGACAAAGUGUCAGCGGCGGAGAGGACAGAUAGAUCGUACAAGACGCCGUCAAUCCCUCCCUGGAGGCUCGAGCCGCGCCAUCCUUGGCGCGGACGCUUU
rnacentral:ncRNA from 1 species